rnacentral:rRNA from 1 species
AUACGUAGGUGGCGAGCGUUGUCCGGAAUUAUUGGGCGUAAAGCGCAUGUAGGCGGUUUGGUACGUCGGUCGUGAAAAUGCGGUGCUUAAAUCCGGCUGGCGAUUGAAACUGUUGAACUUGAGUGCCGGAGAGGCAAGGGGCACUCCCAGUGUCGCGGUGAAAUGCGUAGAUAUUGGGAAGAACACCGGUGGCGAAGGCGCCUUGCUGGACUGUGUCUGACGCUCAGAUGCGAAAGCCAGGGUAGCGAACGGGAUUAGAUACCCCGGUAGUCCUGGCCGUAAACGAUGGGUACUAGGUGUGGGAGGUAUCGACUCCUUCCGUGCCGGAGUUAACGCAAUAAGGACCCCGCCUGGGGAGUACGGCCGCAAGGCUUAAACUCAAAUGAAUUGACGGGG